GUGAAUUUUAGGGUGCUCUUCUCCUUCUUAACAAAGGGAAGAGGCCUGACCUCCACUCUCCAACACUGUGCACUUAUCGGCAUUAGGAUUUCUAGCUAGAGAGGACGCAAGUCUAAUCCUGUUAGCUUUCCUUUUGCGGCUUCAUUUUUAACACUUGUCAAAGAAUGUAACAAAAACCAUAACAAAAA
rnacentral:misc_RNA from 1 species